CAGCUUAUACCAACCGGCAGCACGGUUUGUAGCAGACCGCUGACAAGCUUCAAAAUCGGUUUGAAACACAGUUGUGACUCAACAUUCCGGCCACUAACUCGCUUUGCCAAUCGACCAAUACGUGCUUAACGUCCGUGCUAGAAUUUCCACCAUUUUUUCGCGAUAAAACGUAGCUUUCGGCCAUCAAACUGAACAAAAAAAUCCAAAUUUACGCCGAGAUCAACCCGCCCGAGUGUAGCAUCACGCGAGCGAGAGAAAGCAGAGGAGAGCCUUCGGAAACGAUCGCAGAUCAACGUACGCCCUUGGGUGGUACUACAGUGGGCCGUCGUCGUUCGGCAUAAGGUGCUAUAGCCCUUGAGCAAAAAUCUCCACCAAGCGCCAACGAGCUGCGCACACAAAAUGCCUCCCCACCGACGAAACAGACGAGCGACGCGGCAAGAUCGCAGAGUAGUGUACUUGCUGGGGUCAGCGCGUGUACGGUCAUUUAGGAACUGGCCCUACAGCGGCAUAAUACAUCCGUUGCGUUUGGCCUAUGCCGGAUUCUGCUGGAGGGGGGUAGACGAUAAGGUGCACUGCUUCGACUGCGGCUUAACCCUUGGCGGCUGGCUCCGGACCGAUGAUCCUUGGGAGAAGCACGCUCGGUCGUCGCCCAACUGCCCUUUCAUAGAAAAUGAACCGAUCCUCGCUACCGAGCCCAGUCCAUCCCAGCCGGAGCCAUCAGGCGCAGGCGCACCCCAGCCCGCUGGCAAUCGGUCCGAACAGACUUCAGCCAUGCUGUGCAAAAUAUGCAUGGACCGGGAGGCGAACGCGCUCCUGAUACCGUGUCGCCAUCUAUUGUGCUGCAAGGAAUGUGGGCUACGAUUGGCCAGCUGUCCCGUGUGCCGACAGAGUGCUGUAAUAUUGGUUUUGGUAAAUGUGUGCUGAAUUAUGCUUUUUUACGGUACAUCUUUCAUUUGCAAAUCAGAGCGCAGUGUUCUACGGACCAAGGCUAAGGCACUUGUUGCGUACGAUCUGAAGUAGGUGUUUCAUGUUUCUACGAUUUUAUUUUUGAUUCCUACGUAUUUAGCGCUAAAGCUACGGGCAGAUGGGAGGCACAUGGCACAAGCACGAGUUAAUCAUCGUGCCAAAUUGGCAUGCAAUUUCACGCACGACGUAGCGUAAAAAACAACAUCAUUCAGAUUGCAAUUCGAUUUGAGCGACAGACAAAUCUACUGCCAGUGCCAUUCUUGCGACUUUUUUUUUAUAUUAUCAUUAUUACUACUAUAUUUAUGAUAUUAUGUAUUAGUAUUAAAGUAUUAAGUUACAACACAAUCGAGCAUACGCGGGAAACAUACCCUGAAACCACAGAUCGAUUCGGUAUUCAUGUGAUGAAGCGAAGAACCAAAACGAUUUCAAAGAAUUACACAAAACAACGUAAAGAUUAAGGCACGCGUACCGUAACAGUGUAAUGUAUAACAGAAUGCCAUUGACAGAUAAUGUUAGCUUCACCGCUCUCUGACCGCCCGGAUAAACUUUGCCAUCCGCACAGAUUCACUGUGACAAGUAUUAGUACAAGUUGAGUGCCUCUACAAAUUGUUUAGAUUUAAUACGAUUGUUCUUAUUGCUACCGAGAUCGAGAAACACCAUACACGCCAUAACGUCCGUUUGCUGCUAUGUGGAUGCUCGGAGGCAGCGUGUAGUUCGUAUCGUAGCAAUAGAUAUUAGGGUUUGAAAAUGAUAUUACAAACAGCAGCAAUUAAACCCCUCUUUACCACUAAUGUGAUAGCAUGUACAAACAUCUAGUAUGGCGCGUCAAGAACACAGGGAAAGUUACAAAUUCUGGUUCGGCCCUCAGGACAGGAUGUAAGUCAGUAGACAAACCAAAACAUGGUUAUGGUUGUGAUGCUUUGCAAGCAGAUAUCUAUGUAAGGUCGAUAUGAAAAGCUCGACAGUAAUUAAGUGACCAAAUUUCAUUUGCCUACGUCCAUCAUCCUCUUAAUGUUCCUAAAGCGCCCAUGUUUCUUAAAAAAACAAAAGAACAGAACAAAAUCGUGCACAAAUACAAAACAAAAAACAAAAAAUCGGACGUUCUUCCCUAGCAAUACUUCACCGUCUGGUUAGCUUGGCGCAUUAUGUCUAGAAGAUAUUGGAAAAAGAAAUGAUUUUUUUUACUUUAUUUUAAAUCGUACUUCAACAAUUUAGCAUGCAAUGACAGAAGCGGUCAUUUUACAGUUUGCAACAUUCCCGCGAAAAAGACAUAAUGCAAACAUAAGCACAGCGAAGUCUCGCCGAGUUGAACCAGCAAGGGAAAGCUUGUGUCCGGGUUACAGAUUGCGUUAAAGUGAACGUGAAGUUAUGUUAUUUUUGCUAUAUUUCAUUAACAAAUUAAUAGGAAAUAUGGUUUAUUGUACAUCAGCACAAGAAAGGAAAUGCAAUAUUCCAACUAUUUAAACUAUAAAAUAUGCUAACAUAAUGAAUUUAAAACAUGUUAUUGUGAUUCCCCACGCACCAUUGUUUUUUUUUUUCUGUGGUAAUCUCAAGAAAAUGCAUUUAAUUCAUUAUGUUAGCAUGUUUUAUAGUUUCAAUAGUUUAAAAAAAUCCUUUCUUUUGGUGCACGAUAGGCCAUAUUUUGAUUUAAAUUAAAUUAAAUUUAGCAAAAACAUAGAAUUCCACGUUCACUUUCACUCGAUCUAAAACCCGGACAUUAGAGAGACUUCACUGGGCUCCGUGGCUAGUUAUUUUAUUAUUUACAGUAUUAUCAAAACGUCUAAGAGACAAUCGAAACCCGUCCUACAAGAGAACUGUUCAUGGUGGAAUUACAUUUUUAGUGGAGUAUCUAUGUUUAGCUUAAUUUCAAGAUCUACCGUCCUAUUAACGGAUCAUUAAACAUGUUUCUAACAUAUACUGUGAGCAUUAAAUUGUUAUUUAUGAAAGAAACAGAAUCGAAACUUGCAA